CACGUAGGGCGCAAGCGUUGUCCGGAAUUAUUGGGCGUAAAGAGCUCGUAGGCGGACUGUCACGUCUGCUGUGAAAAGCUAGGGCUUAACCCUGGCCUUGCAGUGGAUACGGGCAGACUAGAGGUAGGUAGGGGAGAAUGGAAUUCCCGGUGUAGCGGUGAAAUGCGCAGAUAUCGGGAGGAACACCGGUGGCGAAGGCGGUUCUCUGGGCCUUAACUGACGCUGAGGAGCGAAAGCGUGGGGAGCGAACAGG
rnacentral:rRNA from 1 species